GUAGGUGAACCUGCGGAAGGAUCAUUAACGAGAUAGGGUCUCUUCGGAGCCCGACCUCCAACCCAAUGUUUAUCAUACCUCUGUUGCCUCGGCAGGCCGCCGGUGCGUCUAACCGCGUACCGCCGUCGGUCGUCCUCGACUUUCGAGUGCCUGCCGCUGGGAUAUACAAAACUCUUUUUGAAAUCAGUAUUCUGAGCGAGAAAUCAAUUAUAUUAAAACUUUCAACAACGGAUCUCUUGGUUCUGGCAUC
rnacentral:misc_RNA from 1 species